rnacentral:rRNA from 1 species
GAUCCCAUCAGAACUCCGAAGUUAAGCGUGCUUGGGCGAGAGUAGUACUAGGAUGGGUGACCCCUUGGGAAGUCCUCUUGUUGCACCC